GAUGAACGCUGGCGGCGUGCCUAAUACAUGCCAGUCGAGCGAACGGACGAGAAGCUUGCUUCUCUGAUGUUAGCGGCGGACGGGUGAGUAACACGUGGAUAACCUACCUAUAAGACUGGGAUAACUUCGGGAAACCGUAGCUAAUACCGGAUAAUAUUUUGAACCGCAUGGUUCAAAAGUGAAAGACGGUCUUGCUGUCACUUAUAGAUGGAUCCGCGCUGCAUUAGCUAGUUGGUAAGGUAACGGCUUACCAAGGCAACGAUGCAUAGCCGACCUGAGAGGGUGAUCGGCCACACUGGAACUGAGACACGGUCCAGACUCCUACGGGAGGCAGCAGUAGGGAAUCUUCCGCAAUGGGCGAAAGCCUGACGGAGCAACGCCGCGUGAGUGAUGAAGGUCCUCGGAUCGUAAAACUCUGUUAUUAGGGAAGAACAUAUGUGUAAGUAACUGUGCACAUCUUGACGGUACCUAAUCAGAAAGCCACGGCUAACUACGUG
rnacentral:rRNA from 1 species